rnacentral:lncRNA from 1 species
ACUGAAAUGGCUGUGGUUUUGAUCAGCGGGGAAUACAGUCCUAGAGGGAUCUGAUAAAUCCCCUAACCUAGACCUGCUCAGAGUGGAGCCCUAGAAUUUGCACUGUUACCAAGAACCUCUGACUACCCCAAGGCAGUCACUAUAUAUCUCAUCACCCUGUUUCCUUCUGUCAUCGCCAAGUUUCCUUACUACAGUCUUAUCUUAAGGGCCAGACUGCUUGAGUUAAAAUCCUGGCCCUACUACUUACUAGCUGUGAGUCCUUGUGCAAGUUAGAUAGCUUUUCUGUGCCUCAGUUCCAUUAUCUAUAAAAUGGGGAUAAGGUACCUAAAGCAUAGAGUGGAUUUAAAAAUUAAAAGAGUUCACGCAGAAAAAUACUAAGAACAGUGUCUAGCACAUGGCAGACCCUCCAUAUACAACCU